UACGUAGGUGACAAGCGUUGUCCGGAAUUAUUGGGCGUAAAGAGCUCGUAGGCGGUCUGUUGCGUCUGCUGUGAAAACCCGGGGCUUAACCCCUGGCUUGCAGUGGAUACGGACAGACUAGAGGUAGGUAGGGGAGAAUGGAAUUCCCGGUGUAGCGGUGAAAUGCGCAGAUAUCGGGAGGAACACCGGUGGCGAAGGCGGUUCUCUGGGCCUUACCUGACGCUGAGGAGCGAAAGCGUGGGGAGCGAACAGG
rnacentral:rRNA from 1 species